CCCCGCCGAACUGCACCAUUGAGGGCUCGGACUAACAGCAGGCACAGCCAGACUGUGGAGCUCUGGCCUCCUGACUCCGGUAGCAUCCUUUCAUGAGCUCGGCACAUCCUCCUUGCACACGUCCCCUAAAGCUUUAAGCAGCAAAUACACACUUAACUGCAGUGCGCAAGCGCUGGCUCAGAGUCUUAGCAUAGAUUGGGCGCGCUAGAGCCCUGGCUAAUGCUCCUCAGGUACAUCUGUUACAUACGUCAAGAAGUCCAUCAGUCUGUGUUGGGUACCAGGUACGUGCUGCGUUUGAAGAGUCUACGCAGAGGUCUGCUUGGGGCAAAGAUGACUGUGCAGUGAUCUGUAAUAACAGCUGGAGACCGAAGUGCACACACGUCCCGGAGUGCUGCCACCUGUGUGGCUGUCUUCUCCAUUCGUACAUUAGGUUUGAGGGUGGCCACCAAAGACUAUGCACAUACAGAGUACAGAGUAGGCCACAUGCCAUUGGGAAAUUGAAGAGAAAGCCCAGUACAAAGUGGGCAGGAAAAUGUCAGCCUGCAGUGACUGCGGAGAUGUUUCUUUAGCCAUACUUUCCUGAAGCAUAGACUUCAGCCAAAUGAACCUUACUGCAGCUUCUGAGUUCAACAUGUAUGAAGCUUUGCCGGGUUCCACCCCUGAGAUGAAAACAACCUUGUGACAGCGAAGGAGGAAAAGACCAGCUGGGAGCAGCCAGGCAACUCACAGGAGGGCAGGAGCCACACUCAGGGGUUUACUGCCUGAGAUUUUGACAGUUCUGCUACCAGGAGGCUCCUGGGCCCCCGGAAGCUGUGGCCCAACUUCGGGAACUUUGCCAUCAGUGGCUGAGGCCAGACACCCACAGCAAGGAGCAGAUCCUGGAGCUGCUGGUGCUGGAGCAGUUCCUGACCAUCCUGCCCAAAGAGCUCCGAGGCUGGGUACAAAUGUAUCAUCUACAGAGUGGUGACGAGGCGCCAACAUCGCUGGAGAAUCUAGCCCCGGAACUCGGAGACACAGGCAGCAGGUGGGAAGAUGAGGAAUGUUCUAGUGUGGGAGAGACAGGGUGAGGAGUGUCUGUUUGCUAGCGUGUCACCUUUUAUUCUGAAAUAAUCCAAUUAAGAGAAGGACCGAAAAAACCGUGUAGAGCGCUCAGAUCCUUUUCGGACAGAUUUAGCUGUUGGUAGCACUAGUUCUGUGAUAUAGCCCACCCACCCCAUCCAUAUUCCUGUGCAAGCCAAAUUCAUUAUCUUUCGUAUAGGCAUGCACAUUUAUCCAGACUCUUUUCCCCUUAACCAGCUGAUAAUUAAUUAUAAAUAUGUCUUUUUACCACCAACUACUUCAGCAUGUAUUUAUGAAGAUAAGGAAAUGCUUUUACAGUCUGAAUAUGGUCAUCAGAUUGUUCCCUUUGGCUGCCUAUUUACCCCAGGGGCAGUGCAUUCGCUUGCCCAUCUUCUCAUAGGUACAUAGGGUGGUUUUGCCUUAGUCACGGGGUCAUAGGAGUGCUUGUCCAGAUUUCUUCUCUAGAGAAUUAUCAUUUUUCCCCUUUGUAGGUAUUGUGUAAAUUGGUGGAAGACAUCUUGAGAGCGUACAGACCCUAGUCCUGAUGACAUGUUUGCCUGUAAUCCAUUGUGUGUUUCUGGGGCACAGGUCCUUUGUCUGUCUUGCCAGCCUUGAUUGUUGAGUCCCCAGACACGGAGGAGAGCCUGUCUGAGUGAGUCUGCAGUGCUAAUUUGCUGAAUGAAUGUGUGUCAGUCUUCUUGAACCUUCUUUAGAGGGGUAAAUGGAGCUCGUUCUGUGUUCCCCUGCAAGAGUCUCUGCUUCCCCCCAGGAUACUUAUUCAAGGUGAAUCUUUUGUCUCCAGGCGCUUUCUAGCCUAGUGGCGACAGAGUAUCAAGGCGCCUCUUUGGAGUAUCAGAGUCUUCAGUUCCUCCAGCCUGGGGCCACGCCCAUGGCAUGUGACCCUCUACAGGUGCCCCAAGAAGUAAGUGGUGAGUGCUAGAUGGUGGGUUUGGUGCAGACACCAGAGGAGGCCACCAAUAGAUACAUUGUUUUCUCAGAAGAGAGCUGACUGUCUCUAGCCUCAAGGUCUUCUUUCUUGUUUUUGUAUACAAAGUAAUUAAAGUAUCAUCUCAUAGUCAA